CUGACACACUCAUACAGAGGGACCUGGGACACAUGCCUCCCUGCAACCUGCUCUGUGUAUUGGUGGCCUUGGCCUUCUCUGGAUGCAAUGUGGCCCAGAAAGUCACUCAGGUCCAGUCAACUGCAAGCAGUCAGUAUGGAGAAGAAGUCACCCUGGACUGUUCAUAUGAGGCAAGUUAUUACUAUUACCAACUCUUUUGGUAUAAGCAGCUUGUUACUGGAGAGAUGAUUUUCCUUAUUAGCCAAGUUUCUUCUUCUACUGAGAAUGAGAGGAAUGGCCACUAUUCUGUCACAUGGCAGAAAUCAGCCAACUCCAUCAGCCUUGUCAUUUCAGCCUCACAGCUAGAAGAUUCAGGGACAUAUUUCUGUGCGCUCCGAGAAUUGACCCACAGUGUUUGA